rnacentral:misc_RNA from 1 species
UCGAUCAUCGGCAGAACCGCCGAAUUGCCGGGCUGCUUUUCUCCUUUUCCGAUCUGGUGGAUUAUGGAGAGGCAUAGAUUGUUGACAGUGGCGAUUUUUGCUUGCCUGAUCGCUUUUUCCGUCGGAAGGGAGUUCAGAUUGAACCACAAGCACAGCGGUGAUGAUAUUUCCUUUAACCAUACUCUUGCCGAAAUCUUGGUGGAGUAUGCUUCUGCGGCAUACAUAUCUGAUUUAACGGAACUGUUUACUUGGACAUGCACAAGAUGCGAUGACCUGACUCAGGGGUUUGAAGUUAUAGAACUGGUUGUUGAUGUCCAGCACUGUCUACAGGCAUAUGUUGGAGUAGCAAAGAGUCUAAAUGCUGUCAUUAUUGCUUUUAGAGGAACUCAAGAAAACAGCGUACAGAACUGGAUUGAAGACCUAUACUGGAAGCAGCUUGACCUGAUGUACCCUGGCAUGCCAGAUGCAAUGGUGCACCAUGGGUUUUAUUAUGCCUAUCACAAUACAACAAUACGCCCUGCAAUAUUAAGUGCUGUCGAUAGAGCCAGGAAG